rnacentral:rRNA from 1 species
UACGAAGGUCCCGAGCGUUAUCCGGAUUUAUUGGGUUUAAAGGGUGCGUAGGCGGGCUAUUAAGUCAGUGGUGAAAGCCUUCAGCUUAACUGAAGAAUUGCCAUUGAUACUGAUGGUCUUGAGUAUGAUUGAGGUGGGCGGAAUGUGUCAUGUAGCGGUGAAAUGCUUAGAUAUGACACAGAACACCGAUUGCGAAGGCAGCUCACUAAGCCAUAACUGACGCUGAUGCACGAAAGCGUGGGGAGCAAACAGG